GACGAACCGUGCGAACGUUGUUCGGAAUCACUGGGCCUAAAGGGCGCGUAGGCGGCUUUUCAAGUCAGGGGUGAAAUCCGGCAGCUUAACUGUCGAAGUGCCCUUGAUACUGAUGAGCUCGAGGGAGGUAGGGGUAUGUGGAACUUCCGGUGGGGCGGUGAAAUGCGUUGAUAUCGGAAGGAACGCCGGUGGCGAAAGCGACGUACUGGACCUCUUCUGACGCUGAGGCGCGAAAGCUAGGGGAGCAAACAGG
rnacentral:rRNA from 1 species